GAUGAACGCUAGCUACAGGCUUAACACAUGCAAGUCGAGGGCAGCAUGAACAUAGCUUGCUAUGUUUGAUGGCGACCGGCGCACGGGUGCGUAACACGUAUCCAAUCUGCCCGUUACUCGGGGAUAGCCUUCUGAAAAGGAAGAUUAAUACCCGAUGGCAUUCAUUAGCGGCAUCGCUUUUGGAUUAAAGAUUUAUCGGUAACGGAUGAGGAUGCGUACGAUUAGCUGGUUGGCGGGGUAACGGCCCACCAAGGCGACGAUCAGUAGCCGGUCUGAGAGGAUGAACGGCCACAUUGGGACUGAGACACGGCCCAGACUCCUACGGGAGGCAGCAGUGGGGAAUAUUGCACAAUGGGCGAAAGCCUGAUGCAGCAACGCCGCGUGAGGGAAGACGGUUUUCGGAUUGUAAACCUCUGUCUUUGGUGAAGAUAAUGACGGUAGCCAAGGAGGAAGCCACGGCUAACUACGUG
rnacentral:rRNA from 1 species